rnacentral:misc_RNA from 1 species
AGUAUGAACGAGUAAGUAUUACGUGGAAAAUUUUUUCUUUUAUACCAAACAAGUUAUUUAAAGCCAUUUAAUUUCCUUUUUUUUUCAUCUAAAAAAUAAAAAACAAUAAAAGAAUCGCCUAAUUUGGAUCUUUUUUUUUAAUUCUUGUUUGAAAACUGUAUAUAACAAAGUUAACUCACAAAUGAUUGAUGCGAUUAGGAUGCAAAUGG